GAUUCUCCUCGCAGAUACAAGAAUCCUACAGUUCCCUCAUUCCGCCCUGCAUUGAACGACUCCACCAUGAAAUUCCUCGUCGCGAUCGCACUUCUUGCUCUGGUUGCCCACGCCAGCGGAAUCGGCUUCGGGUUCGGCAGUCCCGAUUGUCCUCCCGAAUCGUCUGCCAUCCAGCAAGCGGUUCCUGACCCCAAUGACUGCACGAAGUACUCGACGUGUGGACCGGUUUUCUCGGCCAAGAUGACCUGCAAGGAUGGGCAACAUUUCAGCCCUACCAUGCGGAAAUGUAUGAGCCCAUUCAUAGCCGGAUGUGAUCCUGCCUUCACCUUGAAAACUGCUGCACCCGCCAUCGAGGGAGUGCCUUCGGUCGCCGCUUAGGGAUGAAACCCGCGUCUGAGAAGAAUCGGACCUUCGGUCGAGAUCGGGAACGUUCCUGAUCUUGUUUCCAUGGAGGGGAGACGGAUAGCGAGACCACACGUUGUUCAUAUAUAAUUUAUGUACCGUAGAUUAGCCAACCAUCUCGAGAGAAAUGUUAAUGUACGGGAAGAAUCGAAUAAACGUGAGCAGAAAAGA